UACGUAGGGGGCAAGCGUUGUCCGGAAUCAUUGGGCGUAAAGCGCGUGUAGGCGGUUCGGUAAGUCUGCUGUGAAAGUCCAGGGCUCAACCCUGGGAUGCCGGUGGAUACUGUCGGACUAGAGUACGGAAGAGGCGAGUGGAAUUCCCGGUGUAGCGGUGAAAUGCGCAGAUAUCGGGAGGAACACCAAUUGCGAAGGCAGCUCGCUGGGACGUCACUGACGCUGAGACGCGAAAAGCGUGGGGAGCAAAC
rnacentral:rRNA from 1 species